GCCUUAAAAGCUUGAAGCGAUUUACCUUGUAAGUAAAGAGAGGUCAAUUUUAGUCUUGACUUAAGGUUGU
rnacentral:tRNA from 1 species